GAUGAACGCUAGCGGCAGGCUUAACACAUGCAAGUCGAGGGGCAGCAGGGAUUUAGCUUGCUAAAUUCGCUGGCGACCGGCGCACGGGUGCGUAACGCGUAUCCAACUUUCCCGUUACUCUCGGAUAGCCUUCCGAAAGGGAGAUUAAUACGAGAUGGUGUUCUAAUUCCGCAUGUUAUUAGAACUAAAGAUUUAUCGGUAACGGAUAGGGAUGCGUGACAUUAGAUAGUUGGCGGGGUAACGGCCCACCUAGCCGACGAUCCUUAGGGGUUCUGAGAGGAAGGUCCCCCACACUGGAACUGAGACACGGUCCAGACUCCUACGGGAGGCAGCAGUGAGGAAUAUUGGUCAAUGGGCGCGAGCCUGAACCAGCCAAGUAGCGUGAAGGAUGACUGCCCUACGGGUUGUAAACUUCUUUUGUUUGGGAAUAAAUGAUACUACGUGUAGUAUUUUGCAUGUACCUUACGAAUAAGCAUCGGCUAAUUCCGUGCCAGCAGCCGCGGU
rnacentral:rRNA from 1 species